rnacentral:rRNA from 1 species
CCUACGGGAGGCAGCAGUGAGGAAUAUUGGUCAAUGGGCUUACGCCUGAACCAGCCAAGUCGCGUGAGGGAAGACUGCCCUAUGGGUUGUAAACCUCUUUUGUCAGGGAGCAAUUGGCGCUACGUGUAGCGUUAUCGAGAGUACCUGAAGAAAAAGCAUCGGCUAACUCCGUGCCAGCAGCCGCGGUAAUACGGAGGAUGCGAGCGUUAUCCGGAUUUAUUGGGUUUAAAGGGUGCGUAGGCGGGCUGUUAAGUCAGCGGUCAAAUGUCGGGACUCAACCCCGGCCUGCCGUUGAAACUGGCGGCCUCGAGUGGGCGAGAAGUAGGCGGAAUGCGUGGUAUAGCGGUGAAAUGCAUAGAUAUCACGCAGAACUCCGAUUGCGAAGGCAGCAUACCGGCGCCCGACUGACGCUGAGGCACGAAAGCGUGGGUAUCGAACAGGAUUAGAUAUCCUGGUAGUC